GAAUAUUGGACAAUGGGGGGAACCCAGAUCCAGCCAUGCCGCGCGUGUGAAGAAGGCCUUUUGGUUGUAAAGCACUUUAAGCGAGGUGGAGGCUACUCUCGUUAAUACCUAGAGAUAGUUGACGUUACUAGCAGAAUAAGCACCGGCUAACUCUGUGCAUGCCGCCGCGGUAAUACAGAGGGUGCAAGCGUUAAUCGGAUUUACUGGGCGUAAAGCGCGCGUAGGUGGCCAAUUAAGUCAAAUGUGAAAUCCCCGAGCUUAACUUGGGAAUUGCAUUCGAUACUGGUUGGCUAGAGUAUGGGAGAGGAUGGUAGAAUUCCAGGUGUAGCGGUGAAAUGCGUAGAGAUCUGGAGGAAUACCGAUGGCGAAGGCAGCCAUCUGGCCUAAUACUGACACUGAGGUGCGAAAGCAUGGGGAGCAAAC
rnacentral:rRNA from 1 species